GGAGAGACACCCCCACCGCGGUUACCGGGCAGUGCGGGGCCUGACAGGCCGGGCCUGGCGGGGAGCGCGGCGCCUUCCCCCGGCAGAGCCUGCCGGCCUUUCCCUCGGCAGGGCCGUGCGGAGGAGCGGGGCGGCGGCCGCGCUGCCAGGCCCCGGUGGCGCCUGCCCGGCCUGGCCGCUCUGGGCCGCGGGGAGCGGGGCGGGCGGGCCGUGCCCCGCUGCGGCCCGGGAAUUGCCAAAAUGCUUUGGAAUUCUUAAACGAUUCAAAAUCUGAAGUCUCUGAGGAUACAAACUCAUAAGAACACAAGAAGCAGCAAGGAGGAUUCAGUGCCAAUGCAGCAACAAAAAAGACAGCCAGAGUUAGUGGAAGGAAAUCUUCCUGUUUUUGUUUUUCCUACAGAACUUAUAUUUUAUGCAGAUGACCAGUCAACACACAAGCAGGUGUUGACUCUAUAUAACCCCUAUGAGUUUGCCUUAAAAUUCAAAGUUCUUUGUACAACUCCAAAUAAAUAUGCGGUGGUUGAUGCUACUGGUUCUGUGAAGCCUCAGUGCUGUGUUGAUAUUGUGAUUCGUCACAGAGAUGUUCGGGCUUCUUACUAUGGCGUGAUAGAUAAAUUCCGUCUACAAGUGUCUGAGCAGAGCCAGAGGAAAGCAUUAGGGAAAAAGGAGAUUAUUGCUACACUACUUCCAUCUGCAAAGGAACAACAACAACAAAAGGAAGAGGAAGAAAAACGAAUAAAAGAACACCUGGCUGAAAGUGUCUUUUUUGAGCAGACUUUGUGUCAACCAGAAAACAGAACUGCCUCGUCGGGACCUAGUUUACUAACAGUCUUCCUAGGAAUAGUGUGUAUUGCAGCACUAAUGCUACCUACAUUGGGGGAAAUGGAAUCCCUGGUGCCUCUCUACCUCCACUUAAGUGUGAAUCAAAAGUUAGUAGCUGCUUAUGUUUUAGAUUUUGACUACAUCAAAACUCAGAGCAAUACUUCCACUGUUGAAGUGCAUAUAUAAACUCACUCUGCAUGUAUUUAUGCCCUUCUACCUUAUUUUCUGGCCUGUGACAGGGUCUCAUCACCAUGGUUAUUUUGAGAACAUGAGCAAUGAGUGCAUAGGAUGGCAAACACCUUACUGUAUAUUCACAUCAUGAAUGUGGACUGCCUUUUACUCCCAUUUGGCUCAUUAAGACGCUAGCAAAACCGUUCAGUGAUUUAAGAUACCUUCAGAAGUGUAAUAUAUUUUAACUAUGUAUAAUAAAUGAAAGACUCAAAGCACUUUUGGGUGCUUCUGUAACAGACAGCUAUGAAAUGUUCAGUGAUACCUGUGAAAAUAAUUUGAAAACAAAACAAACCAAACACUUUUAUAUCUACGCCUACUGUAAAAAAGUCCUUAUUAAAGCAACAUUUGUUAUUUUUAGUCUUACGUUCACAUCAGUGCGUGAUCACUAUAAAAGCAAAACUUGUCUUAUGUAAAACCUUCAGUCGGGUUGUGGUUGUACGUGCCGGGGCCGGUGCAUAACACUUCUGUAUCCCCACCGCAAGGCGGAGAGUCGUGACUAAUCAGUGAAGAAAAAUGAAAGACUCCACCAGUGAAACUAUGAAAUAAACCAUGAAUUUUAGGUGAAGAAGUAAUUCUCCCAUUCCUUCCUUCAUUACAAAGCUAUGGUUGAGUGCUCAUUUUCUUACCUGGGGAAAGAAUUUCUGCAACAGCCGUUUUGUAUCCCAGUUGCAGACAAUAAAAAGAAGUUCUGUAAUCAUCAGAUCCUUUCCUUUCUUAGGGAUGCAUGCAAUAUGUGAAUUACGUGGCUUUAACAGAAGUUGAAUUCACGCUGCACACUAAUAUAAAAUCCUGCUUUUUUUUCUAUUUUAGAGACUAAACUAAGUAUAGCAACAACGGUGUUCCCCUACACCUUCCCUUCCCCCCCAGCCAAGAGAAGGGAUUUCUUGCGUAGCAGAAACUCUUCCUCAAAUGCCAGUUUUAUAUUCGAGGUGAACGUUUAUCUUGUUUCGUAUAACAACUCUUUCCCUUCACUUGGCAUUUCAUUGUUGGGAUGUUGAGUUUAAAAAUAUUUCUACUGAAGGGCCACUAUUACUGCGUUUGAUUCGUACACAAAUCUUUAUAAGGCUCUGGAAUAUGCUCUGAUCUAUAUAAAAAACAUUUUGGAAAUUAAACUUUCUUUCUCCCUGCA